AGAGUUUGAUCCUGGCUCAGGAUGAACGCUGGCGGCAUGCCUAACACAUGCAAGUCGAACGAAGUUACCGGAGCAGCGGACUUAGGUUCAACGCACCGACUAACUUAGUGGCGGAUGGGUGAGUAACACGUGAGCAACCAACCUUUUACUCGGGAAUAACAUGGGGAAACCCAUGCUAAUACCUGAUAUUAUCAAGAAAUGGCAUCAUAAUUUGAUGAAAGAUUUAUCGGUAAAAGACGGGCUCGCGUCCGAUUAGCUAGUUGGUAAGGUAAUGGCUUACCAAGGCCACGAUCGGUAGCCGGACUGAGAGGUCGACCGGCCACAUUGGGACUGAGAACGGCCCAGACUCCUACGGGAGGCAGCAGUGGGGAAUAUUGGGCAAUGGACGCAAGUCUGACCCAGCGAUGCCGCGUGAAGGAUGGAAGGCCCUCGGGUUGUAAACUUCUUUAGACAGGGAAGAAAGAAAUGACAUUACCUGUAGAAUAAGCCACGGCUAACUACGUGCCAGCAGCCGCGGUAAUACGUAGGUGGCGAGCGUUAUCCGGAAUUACUGGGUGUAAAGGGCGCGUAGGCGGGUAUGCAAGUUGGAUGUGAAAUUCCGGGGCUUAACUCCGGAUUGUCAUCUAAAACUGUGUAUCUUGAGUGUCAGAGGGGAAAGUGGAAUUCCUAGUGGAGUGGUAAAAUGCGUAGAUAUUAGGAGGAACAUCGGUGGCGAAGGCGACUUUCUGGCUGACAACUGACGCUGAGGCGCGAAAGCGUGGGUAGCGAACAGGAUUAGAUACCCUGGUAGUCCACGCCGUAAACGCUGAUUACUAGGUGUAGGGGGUAUAGACUCCCUCUGUGCCGCAGUUAACGCAUUAAGUAAUCCACCUGGGGAGUACGGCCGCAAGGUUAAAACUCAAAGGAAUUGACGGGGGCCCGCACAAGCAGUGGAGUAUGUGGUUUAAUUCGAAGCAACGCGAAGAACCUUACCAGGGCUUGACAUCCUCGGACGACACUAGAGAUAGUGUUUUCUCUUCGGAGACUGAGAGACAGGUGGUGCAUGGUUGUCGUCAGCUCGUGUCGUGAGAUGUUCGGUUAAGUCCGGCAACGAGCGCAACCCUUAUUGUUAGUUGCCAUCAUUUAGUUGGGCACUCUAGCGAGACUGCCGUUGACAAAACGGAGGAAGGUGGGGACGACGUCAAAUCAUCAUGCCCCUUAUGUCCUGGGCUACACACGUACUACAAUGGUAACAACAGCGAGCAGCGAAGCCGCGAGGCGAAGCAAAUCUUCAAAUGUUAUCUCAGUUCAGAUUGCAGGCUGCAACUCGCCUGCAUGAAGCAGGAAUUGCUAGUAAUGGCAGGUCAGCAUACUGCCGUGAAUACGUUCCCGGGCCUUGUACACACCGCCCGUCACACCAUGAGAGUCUGUAACGCCCGAAGUCAGUAGUUUAACCGUUUACGGAGGACGCUGCCGAAGGUGGGACAGAUGAUUGGGGUGAAGUCGUAACAAGGUAGCCGUAUCGGAAGGUGCGGCUG
rnacentral:rRNA from 1 species